rnacentral:tRNA from 1 species
AAGAGUUUUGAUCUCUUCAGGUAGGGUUCGAAUCCCUUCUUUCUAA